GUUCGUGACACAGCCCAAGGAUAGACUGCGAUGGAGCGGGUGUGUCUUUGCCAAGCCUGACGUUUGUCCGCUGGAUAGACAGAUCUACUGCUGGAGAGGAGAUGAAAUAUACGAGUUGCUCUUUAUGUUACACUAGUCUGUUUGACUUGUCAAAGACAACCGAGGAGUCAUUCUUCGGUAUUAUAAUGCGUUUAUAUCACAAUAACGCGAUCGUAAUUGAGUGCACAGGCAGUCUGACCCCGUGUAGUCUAAUUAAGAUAAGCUUUAAGUCCAGGGGAAAAAGUGAAUUCCUCAAGGCCCCACCCUUUGCAGCUCAACAUGGAUGUGAAGAGUAACCCCACCACCACCACCUCUCUCUCCCUCCCUCCUUCCCUGAACGUCAUUCAUUUCCCCGUUCAAGCUUGUAUUGUGCUGUUUUCCCCCCUCUUCAGUAUCUCCAGGUGUCCACGGUAGAUCUUCUUGUUUUAAAUCGACUUUUUGAGCAUCACGGUUGGUUCUUCUUCCAGGAUUGUCCAGAGGUUUUAAUAAAUUGAGACUGCCGUGUUCACAUGCAUUCCCGGCUCCAGAUGCUCUCCAUUAAAUCCUGUAAGACACACAGCGGGACUUCACUGGAAGGGCUGCUUCCUCUUCCUCUUUCCCACCUGCGGACUUCCUGUCAGUUGACAUCACCUCUUCCUUAAAAAAAUACCAUACUCCGUUUGGAGGAAGUCAGCGCAUUUCCAAGCUGUGCUCACUGGAUGAAUGAGGGUGGCAAAUUUUUACAGCCACGUGGAUAAUAACUGUGGUAUAAUUGCUGUCAGGUUGGUGAAUCUGUGGGGUCUUUUUGGUCCUUUUAGUGUGUGUGUGUGCGUGCUUGUGCGUGUUACACCUAUUGUUUCACGGGACAUACUGUUAAUGCUAUGCAGCUGAACCAGAUAGAACCUAUGAGGAACAUGUUAGCCUUUUAUGGGGCUGUUUUCUACCAGCGGAAGGUGUUCCUCCACCCACAGCUGUAACUGGUUUCAUUUUGAAUCAUUAAUUCAUAUUCAGAUAAACAUCAGCCGUGGGCACAAAGAGUGAUUACACAAUAUAGAUCCACAUGCACAUGCAAUUCACUCUCACAUUGCAGUAUCUAGUUGCAUCUCAUAAUUUAAAGUCUGUGUGUGUUUCUGCACAUAGGGAGAGUACUUCCAUGGAUCCCACCACACCCUCACCCACCUAGCCUCAUGCAUGUAUUUGUUUACUUACUAAAAUGCAUUAUACAUAUAAGUUAUCCUCCUCCUGUACUCACCAAAGAAGAUUCCAAUCUUUCGUGGUGAUUUUGAUAACCCAGGAGCGCGAAGGAGAAACCUUUUCCGACAGGGCGCUAGUGUUAGCUUGCAUCUCUUCCGGAAUUACGCUUCAGUGGGAUUUGUGUAUGUGCGUGCUUGUUCAUGGCUUUUGAAAUUCUUUCCCCCUUCACUAAUCCAAUUCAGAGCUGUAGGAGGAAAGCACUGGCAAAUAUAUUGAUCCACUAUUCACUUGAAAGCAAUUUGUCAUGGCCUUCAGAGAAGGAUUAAGGGAGGUGGGGGUGCACAUAUGAUCGAGUGCAGACCAGUCCAAACCGUGACAGUGAUACAAUAGGCCAUCAGCGUGUGCACGUAUAGGAUGUUAGCGUGCACACUGGGGAAUGCAAAAUAUCUUCAAACACCUUUUGUUCCUAAUGGGUUGGCCUAUUACCUUAAAUGCACAUUUUAAACUCUCAGAUGACGGUUACAAACAUGGACGUGUUUGAAUGCCUGGGUGUAGUACAUGUGACUGACUGUAUCUUACAAGAAUGAGCUCAAGGUGGGCUGAUUGAGAAAUGCCAGACUGUGCAUUACCUCUGCUGUUAUUUAUAUGAUAGAUUAUGAGGAAAUUCUUCAACAGAUACCAGUAAACACAUGUUUCAGAUCAUUUUUGUGGCCUACGCUGACAUUUCCAAUGUUUGCUGCAGUAGAAAUGGCAACUUCUUCUUUCAAAGCAACCUGCAGAGCAUUCCUCUCAAAACUAUGGUUAAUUGUAGAGGACUGGCUCCCUGUAAUAAAGAGCACAAGCAGUAUUGUGAGUUUUUUUUCAAGUAUUACAUUGUUAUUUGGAGAGGAAAAAAACUGGACUUGAAUGUGUGCAAUUGUUAUACUGGCAAUGAACUAAUUGUUCUGGGGUGUGCCGUGAGUUUGCUGUAAUAAAACUAGCAUUAGGGUUUCUGCCAGGACUGCCGCUUUCAACAGAAAAUAUUUUAGAUGACUACGAUACCAAAAAAGACGAGGGCUUGAUCCUGCUUGUAAAAUGGAUAUAGUUGAUGCCUUUGGAGGACAGAUAAGAGGCUUGCCAGAAUCUGUUGCACAGCUGCUCAUAUCCUCAGCACAGGAAGCACCUGUAUAAGAUUCUCUUGCUUCAUAUAAAGAAAGCCUUCAUGGUAUACUUAGCUGUAGCAUUAGGCUUCCACCUACAUUGGACACAAAGUCUGCCUUAAAUGCUUGUGUGGUGGUUUUUUGUAUCCUAUUUUAGCUUUUUUCUGUUUCGUCUUGCAGGAGAAACAUUUAGCAUCAAUUCCCACUCGUACCCCUGACAGUAAAACUGUUCAAAUACCACAAUAUGGACUGGAUUCAUUUUUUGCAAUUCAUUUUGGAUAAGAUAUGGCAUUUCUGGAAUGAUUCAUGGGGCUUCCCAUUCUUUGGUCUUGGCAGUAUCAUCAUCCCGUAUUGCCUUCUGGGAUAUGUUGUUGUUGGCUUGCUUUCAUAGAUUGAAUCUAGUCUCUUUCCUCUUAGUCAUACUUCCGCAAUUAGAUAGCAUUCCAAUUUACCAAAAAAGACCAUUAUAGCCCAAACCAUACCCACAGCCAAAUCCAAAUAAGUGGGAUUGUCUGGAAACAAACGAGGGUGAGCACACCCUUUAAUAUCAGGUCACUUUUGUAAGAGGAUGUCUACUUGGCAGUCGGCUGUGAGUUAUUUUUAAAUGUUUUUACAGUGACUUUGCAAUUUAAAGCGCGUUGGUUAAUGUGUUACUUUUGUCGAGCCUCUGGACAGCUUCAUAUUUGCUCUAAGGCAAAGUUAACAAUCGUGCCAUCACUACUAAAUACCCUUUUUGCCGAGUUUGUGUUCUCCAUGGUUUUGUUUGCAUUUUUAACCUAACAGGUAUUUAGUCUGUCUAUGUCUGUGCUGCCUCAGGAAUAACCAAAAACACAUGGGCUGGUUCGCUGCGCACGUCAACCUCAGAGUAAUGUCACGAUUUGGGGACAAUGGGUCUUGAUCUCAGAAGUUUAAGCUAUCACUAGCUCACUGCCAACUCACUGCUUCUAUCACUCGUGCACACAUGCGCUGUGUGCCACUUGUGUGUAUUUGCUUGUUUCUUCCUACACACUCCGAGGAGCCAUUUUCACCCUGUUGCUUAGGCUUGCCGUAAUUGUCCUGGGAAUCGUCAGCUCUGGGUAAUAAAUCAGUCCUCUGGUACACUGUGUUCUCCACUCUGGUGUACGGGAUGGCCUCUGCUUGCACGUGUAGUGCGCAUACUUAGCAUUUCAUGAGUAGAGGGGAAAAAAACACAGCCGAGAAAUAAUGCGGUUUGAAAACUACACGAAGAACAAAGAAACUCCAGCUCUCUGUCACAACAGGCUCAACUUCAUUUUUUUAUUGCAUGCAAUUGAUAAAUAAUGAGGAUUUUUUUCUUCUCUUUCUUUUUUUGCACUUAUUUUCUUCUUCCAGACUUCUUUCUUUCCUGUAUGUUUCACAUGUAGAAAUAUUAAACAGUGCUCUUCAUCUUCCCCACUAAAGUGCUGCAUUUAAAGCAAAUGCUACAAUUCUGG